rnacentral:rRNA from 1 species
UACGGGGGGCAAGCGUUGUUCGGAAUUACUGGGCGUAAAGCGCACGUAGGCGGUCCAGCAAGUCGGGUGUGAAAGCCCUCGGCUUAACCGAGGAAGUGCAUUCGAAACUACUGGACUUGAAUACUGGAGAGGAUCGCGGAAUUCCCGGUGUAGAGGUGAAAUUCGUAGAUAUCUGGAGGAACACCGGUGGCGAAGGCGGGUCUCUGGGCAGUAACUGACGCUGAGACGCGAAAGCGUGGGGAGCGAACAGG